GACGGAGGAUGCAAGCGUUAUCCGGAAUUAUUGGGCGUAAAGCGUCCGCAGGUGGACAUACAAGUCUGCUGUCAAAGUGCAGAGCUUAACUCUGUAAAGGCGGUGGAAACUGUAGGUCUUGAGUAUGGUAGGGGUAGAGGGAAUUCCAGGUGUAGCGGUGAAAUGCGUAGAUAUCUGGAGGAACACCGGUGGCGGAGGCGGCAUUCUGGACCGAAACUGACGCUGAGGCGCGAAAGCCAGGGGAGCAAACGGG
rnacentral:rRNA from 1 species